rnacentral:rRNA from 1 species
AGAACGAACGCUGGCGGCACGCCUAACACAUGCAAGUCGAGCGCCCAGCAAUGGGAGCGGCGGACGGGUGAGUAACACGUGGGAACAUGCCUUUCGGUACGGAACAACUGCGGGAAACUGCAGCUAAUGCCGUAUACGCCCUUACGGGGAAAGAUUUAUCGCCGAAAGAUUGGCCCGCGUCUGAUUAGCUAGUUGGUGAGGUAACGGCUCACCAAGGCUUCGAUCAGUAGCUGGUUUGAGAGAACGACCAGCCACAUUGGGACUGAGACACGGCCCAAACUCCUACGGGAGGCAGCAGUGGGGAAUCUUGGACAAUGGGGGAAACCCUGAUCCAGCGAUGCCGCGUGAGUGAUGAAGGCCUUCGGGUUGUAAAACUCUUUCGACGGGGACGAUAAUGACGGUACCCGUAGAAGAAGCUCCGGCUAACUUCGUGCCAGCAGCCGC